rnacentral:misc_RNA from 1 species
CCUCCUUAAAAAAUAAUCGCUUAGGAUAGGCGUUCACACGAAUAACUUGCUUUUACCUAAAUCAUUUCUUUACAGAUUUGAGAUUAAGGAGCGUUCUUUAACAUUUUUAUAAGUUCAAUCAAGUCACAUCAUAGUGUCUUAGUUUUUUAAUUUAGAUAUGAAUGAUGUGCAAAUGUCACCAAACCCGUCAUGUUUUAGAACAUAAGUUUGGUGUACAUACUGCAAAGUAAUUUUGGCGAAUGACAAUAGAUACUUGAAGAACAUUAAUCAA